rfam:Populus trichocarpa scaffold_18_contig_82, whole genome shotgun sequence.
UCUAGAACUCAAGAUAUGAGUUGAAAACCGAACAGUGUUUGAGCUACAGAACAGGUUCUGACUUCUCCGUUGUUGCUAAGAUUUGAACUUGAAAAUGGCAGAAUUGAGGGACUCUUCAUGAAAGUGUUAGGUCUAUGUCUUAGCUUUCCAUC